GGAACGCUGUCUGUCCCUGUCCCGAUCCCCACAGCCGCCUGACCCUGGCCGCCUCCAUUCUCCAAUCCACCGACCGAAUUCCAAACCCUUCCCAGGACCUCCCUCCUCCCGCGCCGCCCGCCGCUCGCCGGCCGCCUCCGCCCCAAUCCAAUGGGGUAUGAGGAGAGCAAAAAUCAUCUUCUGAGUCUCAGUUACCAGGAGCUCCAAUGUUUGUGCAAAAGGUAUAACCUUCCUGCUAAGAAGACCCACACUCAGUUAGCAAGCUUGCUUGCAUCGCUGCUUGAGGCAUCUCCUCCUGCUGCUUUGACUAUCCCAUUAGCAACUGUGAAAGAAACAGCCACGUGCGACCAUGUUAGCAACAAAAGAGGCCCAUACAAUGGCAGAGAUGAUGGUAGACCACCUGCGCAGGUGAAGCAUCAAAAAGGAUCUCAAACACCAGUCGAUGAAACAACUAAAGGGCAGGGGAUUGACACUGGUACAAGUAUUUCUCCAGUUUCUAUCAACCAUGGAAGGCCAGAUUGUCAUGGUCAUUCAUCUUCUGAACGGGGUACUGAUCAUAAUUUGCAAUCUCAAAGGGAUGUGGGUAUUGCAUCUAAGUCAGCAAAUCCAGGACUUGUUAGCAAACAUCAUCGUUCACCUGAUAACAUCAUCGAUCAAAUUUGUCCCCCUAUUGUCGAAAAAUAUCCUGAGGCUUCCACUCCUUUCAGCCAUACAGAAGAUACCGCAGUUAAAGGUUGUGGGCCAUCUGAUAAGAUGUCAGCAAAUGCUCCUGCUGUUCAAUUUUCUGUAAUGUCAGACGAGGGCAUUGAUCUUGUUGUUGAUCUGAACUCCACUCCAGCAAGUUGGGCCAAGACCUUCAUGGCAGAAAUGUGCAUUGCACCUCCUGAACAUGGGAAUUUCUCCAGCUUUAUUAGCAGCUUGGCAACUAAGGAUGAUCAUAGCACUGUCUCACCGUCAGGGAAUAUCAUUGUUGACAUCCAGAGCAAGGGAGCUGUGAAUAUCAUUCCUUCCACUAAUUCGUCACGUGCUUCAGAUGUUGGUGAGAACUCUCGUUCAGUUCCCUAUCCAGCUGACACAAUUACUGUGAACUCAGUGUCAUCCACAUCUACAUUAGCUGGUGCUCCAGUUGAACUUUCUGGGUAUCAGGAAGGUGCUCCAGUGGUUUCUUCUUCAUGUUUAACAGCUGAUGUUCGGAACAAUGUGACAUCUGAGCCCAGUGCUUUGGAUAAUGAGGUGCUUCCUCCAGAAUCUGCUAAUGUCUUUAUGCAGCCUGAAAGAAUCACUGUACCCUUGGAUGAUGCUUCCAUGCAACCAACUGGCAAUAAAGUCACGAUGAUACCUGGUAAAACCAAAGUUUUUGGCAAAAUUUGUUGCAAUCAAAAUGUUUCAGUUGCUGAUACCGACAAUUUAUCUACCUUUUCAUCAGGGGGUGUGGUUAGAAGUGUCUCCAAUGAAGACUCCUGUCCAAAAUCGUCGGGAAAACAAACUGCAGAUGUUCCUGCAAGGGUUCAGCUUUCUCACAAUGAUGACGUCCAUGAAACCCUAAUGGAAAAUGGACCAGUGGAGGCAGUGGCAGUGGAAGAAGAUAUAGGUUGUGGUGACAGUUUGUCCAUUUCCUGUCAACUAGCCGGUCAGACAGUAGCAAAACUGCCAGUUACAGAUGCCCAGUCACAUGCUAGCUCUGCAGAUCAUUGUGUUGCUGGAAGUUUUGACCAAGCACAUCCAACAUCAUCAUCUGCUGCCUCGGAUAAUGCUAUUAAUUCCCUGACUUCAAAGUAUGGUGCAGAGUCAGCACAAAGUCAUGGUUCUACUGACAAAAAUAGAGUGUGUGGUGCUGAGGUGCUUGAGGAGUUAGAGAGUAUGACACCGGCAGUCUAUAGUGAACCUCCCAGAAAUAUACAACUUAGCUUACGAAGUGCUUCUGCUAAAAAGAAGCCUUCUACACUACCAAGACGGUCAGCAAGGCUUAUUCCUAAGUAACCGCUCUAAAUGAUACAGAUGAGACCCAUUGUGAGAGUAGCUUCACUACCAGUUUAGUCAGAUUCCGUGAGGCUGGAGGGAUAGAAUACAGUUGUUAACAUCUAGUUGGAUGAUGUCGUGUGUAACUAAGGCUUCAUUUGGCAGCACAGGGUUAAUUAAUCCUGGGAAGAAAUGAUCCCACGGGGAUAUUAUUGGAUUUUGGAAUCCUCUCCACCGCAGGGCAGUGCUUCCCCCUCUACCCCGCUGCUCUUUGGGGUCCUGACGCGAGGGGGCAGCCUAGCAGGAGGGUUUUUGCCCUGUCCAGCUGUGUGUGCGCCUCCGGCUGCCUGUGUCUUCUUGCACGCUUCUUUUUUUUAAAAAAAAAGUGCUAAUCCAGAAUACAUGGCAUGCAGUAGUAGUCCUAAGGUACUAAGGUAACAACAUCUCUUUUCUCUUGUAGUAACAUAUUUCAGCUCAUUGUACUAAGGUAACAUCUCUUUUCUCUUGUAGUAACAUGUUUCAGCUCAUUGUGAUGCAUCUCUUUUCGCUUGUAGUAACAUGUUUCAGCUCAUUGUGACAAAAGAAAGGUGCCUGAUGUUUUCCAGAAAUUUAGACCAGCACAUAUGGUAGAACGUAUCAUAUCCUAGAAAAUAAGACAGGUUUAAUUUAUAACAGUACUUUGCACUCCCAAACUAGUGCAAACUACAAGUUAACAUGUCAGCUCUCAAAUCCAGACUCCCAAACUACAAGUUAACAUGUCAGCUUCCAAAUCCAGACUCUUGCUCACAAGUACUCUGCACAGCUCCCAAAUUAGGACUCCUGCUCACUUGGAGCUACAAGUUCGCAUACCACAUCCCAAAUUAGAACUCCUGCUCAAUCUGCAAUGGAAGCAUCAUUAGGCUUAGGAUACAAUUUUUUACUUGGUAAUAGAAAGAACCACCAGCAGCAAACUGCAGUGAAAUACAAUAUAUCUAAUAUAUCUAUUACUUCCGAAAGGCAAUAGUGACAUUGACAAUUAUUUUGAGACUAGAUACAUAUAAUACAGCACCGGAAAAUGGAGAUAAAGAUUCAACCCAAUUAGAGUUUCUCAAGUGGUGCGAAUUAAUGCAACAUUGGUGGUCAAUGAAAAGAUUGGAUAAUAUUCAUAUAUCUUCACAUCCUACUGAAAUACUGAAAUGAUAAUUGAAACAAAAAUGCUUCAAACAUAACAUACCUUAUAUCAGCAUUGGAGGUGGACACAAGGGGCUUCUUAGUUUUCAUUUGUAGCAGCACUAGAGGAAGAAAGCUGCAGUAUAAAAACAUGUAACAUCAGUGACACCAUGGACAUAAUUUUCCGUUUUAUAUAUAGAAAUAGAGGAUUCAACCGACAAACACAGAUAACACAUUGCAGAAAUUAAGAUCAAUUAUGACAACUGAGUAAGGGUACAAAAUUGAGAAAGUGAACAUACCCGAGCAAUCUUGCUCUUCAACCAAAUCAGCCGGACUCUUGGGUUUUUGGUGCUCACUAGUAUUUUUCUGUUCGUUUCACUUUAGAAAAGCUCGAUUGCAUCGCCUUUCUGUUCAUUCGAUAGCUCAUCGCCUUUCUGUUCAUUCGAUAGCUCUUCCACGGCGUCCACCAUAUCAUUGCAUUUCUCCAUCGAGUACUCUUCUUCACGUAUCUUCUUAUCUUCUAACUUUUCUAGAGUUUUUUCCAUCUGGUCUUUUCUAAAGUCAAUGAAGUCUCCAAGUUUUGCUGCAAUCUGACUUUGCUUGCAUUUCUUCCCACCAGUAACAUCUUGGUCCUCUAAAUUACGACUGGUUGGAGCAGACUGAACUUUAGUGCUUUCUACACCAUCAAGACCAGAGCUGAAUAGAUUUCUACCAAGAGAAGGCACCUGCUCUUCUCUGAGUUAUGAUUGGGUGCUCUGCUAUGUGUGCUUUGCUCUAAGGUGGUCCUUUGUGGUGUACAUUCCAUUCUUGUCUCAGUUCUUUGGGGUAUGGGUCAACUCGUAGAUCAGUUCUUUGAUGUGGAGGCUCAAUUGAUGGAGCGGCUCUUUCUUGUGCAAUGGUGAUCGGGACAUGAGUGCCAUCAAUGGCCACAAUGCAGUUUUGGAAGAAAGGCAUAAAUCGAGGGUCUGAUGCAAUCUUCACAUGUGUAUAGCUCAUAUUUGGGAGCUUCAAGAAUCUAUGAGUCAGUGCUCGAACUAUAUCGAAGAACUCUAUUAUUUUCCUAUGAAUUGUCUCACCACUAUGUUGGAAUUCCUUUUUUA